rnacentral:rRNA from 1 species
UACGUAGGUGACGAGCGUUAUCCGGAUUUAUUGGGCGUAAAGCGUACGCAGGCGGUUGAUUAAGUCUGACGUGAAACCUCCCGGCUUAACUGGGAGAGGUCGUUGGAAACUAAUGAACUUGAGGCAAUGAGAGGUAUGCAGAAUUCCCGGUGUAGUGGUGGAAUGCGUAGAUAUCGGGGGGGAAUACCAGUGGCGAAAGCGGCAUACCAGCAUUGUACUGACGCUCAUGUACGAAAGCGUGGGGAGCAAACGGG